ensembl:lncRNA
ACAACCAUAGAUAUUUUUCUUCUAAUUUGGCUCCCGUUCCUCCAACAGGGAGCAAGACCUGCCAGCAGAGAUUAACCACAUGCAGGGGACGCUGAACACCUUGCAGGGGCAGUGUAUUGAGUUGCAGACUGCCAUAUCUAAGGUAGUGUCAGAUGAGUCUCAGAUACAGAAGAAUAAGUCUAUGAUGUUAUGGUGAUAAUGAUUGAGAUGGUGAUUAUAAUAAUGAUGACUAACGGUACCCCACCCUGCGGGCGGUAAAUCAUUGGAUCUGAUUAAUUCAAUUCAAUGCAAUUCAAUCUUAGAGGACUGCAACCAUAGAAAUACAAUGUAUUUACACUAAUAAUAAGCUAUUGUCAACUUCCCGUCUAUGGUUAUCUUGCUCAUUGCUCACUGUCAAUUGCUGAUUGUUACCCUGUGUGUGCAACUAUUAUUGAUUUCUCACAGAAAAAUUAUUUGUUUGCAAAUGUACCUGGGGCCAUGUAAAUAAUUGUUAGGCUACUCAUUUUGAAUCCACCGGUGGCAACUUGUGUGACCAUAAAAGUCUGUGUGCGACUGGGCACAGUAAAAUAAUUUGGUUACUGACCUGCCCUACAUCAUAGAAGGCCCUUCAAGUCGGAACUAGGAAAUUCUGACAUUUCUGACUCGCUAACUCGUUAUGGAAUGAUGAUUUCAAGUUUCCCACUUGUGAAGUAUGAGAAUCAACCAGUAGGAAGCUCUACACUAAUAUUUUACAUUCAUUUCAAAUCUGAGGUUCCAAGUUUCCGAUGGCAUGUGAAUUUUUCAAUAGUUGCCAUGGUAAUUUUGAAUGUUCAGUCAGUGGUAAAGCAACACUCACAGUGUGAUGGAGAGAGGUAAAGCAACACUCACAGUGUGUAGAGAGUGGUAAAGCAACACUCACAGUGUGAUGGAGAGAGGUAAAGCAACACUCACAGUGUGAUGGAGAGAGGUAAAGCAACACUCACAGUGUGUAGAAAGUGGUAAAGCAACACUCACAGUGUGUAGAAAGUGGUAAAGCAACUCUCACAGUGUGAUGGAGAGAGGUAAAGCAACACUCACGGUGUGAUGGAGAGUGGUAAAGCAACACUCACAGUGUGUAGAGAGUGGUAAAGCAACACUCACAGUGUGAUGGAGAGUGGUAAAACAACACUCACAGUGUGUAGAGAGUGGUAAAGCAACACUCACAGUGUGUAGAAAGUGGUAAAGCAACACUCACAGUGUGAUGGAGAGUUGUAAAGCAACACUCACAGUGUGAUGGAGAGAGGUAAAGCAACACUCACAGUGUGUAGAGAGUGGUAAAGCAACACUCACAGUGUGAUGGAGAGUGGUAAAGCAACACUCACAGUGUGAUGAGAGAGGUAAAGCAAGACUCACAGUGUGAUGGAGAGUGGUAAAGCAACACUCACAGUGUGAUGGAGAGAGGUAAAGCAACACUCACAGUGUGUAGAGAGUGGUAAAGCAACACUCACAGUGGGAUGGAGAGUGGUAAAGCAACACUCACAGUGUGAUGGAGAGAGGCAAAGCAACACUCACAGUGUGAUGGAGAGUGGUAAAGCAACACUAACAGUGUGAUGGAGAGUGGUAAAGCAACACUCACAGUGUGAUGGAGAGUGGUAAAGCAACACUCACAGUGUGAUGGAGAGAGGUAAAGCAACACUCACAGUGUGAUGGAGAGUGGUAAAGCAACACUCACAGUGUGAUGAGAGUGGUAAAGCAACACUCACAGUGUGAUGGAGAGUGGUAAAGCAACACUCACAGUGUGAUGGAGAGAGGUAAAGCAACACUCACAGUGUGUAGAGAGUGGUAAAGCAACACUCACAGUGUGAUGGAGAGUGGUAAAGCAACACUCACAGUGUGAUGGAGAGUGGUAAAGCAACACUCACAGUGUGAUGGAGAGUGGUAAAGCAACACUCACAGUGUGAUGGAGAGUGGUAAAGCAACACUCACAGUGUGAUGGAGAGUGGUAAAGCAACACUCACAGUGUGUAGAGAGUGGUAAAGCAACACUCACAGUGUGAUGGAGAGUGGUAAAGCAACACUCACAGUGUGAUGGAGAGAGGUAAAGCAACACUCACGGUGUGAUGGAGAGUGGUAAAGCAACACUCACAGUGAGAUGGAGAGAGGUAAAGCAACACUCACAGUGUGAUGGAGAGUGGUAAAGCAACACUCACAGUGUGAUGGAGAGUGGUAAAGCAACACUCACAGUGUGUAGAGAGUGGUAAAGUAACGCUCACAGUGUGUAGAGAGUGGUAAAGCAACACUCACAGUAUGAUGGAGAGAG